rnacentral:rRNA from 1 species
GAUGAACGCUGGCGGCGUGCCUAAUACAUGCAAGUCGAGCGAACAGACGAGGAGCUUGCUCCUCUGACGUUAGCGGCGGACGGGUGGGUAACACGUGGAUAACCUACCUAUAAGACUGGGAUAACUUCGGGAAACCGGAGCUAAUACCGGAUAAUAUAUUGAACCGCAUGGUUCAAUAGUGAAAGACGGUUUUGCUGUCACUUAUAGAUGGAUCCGCGCCGCAUUAGCUAGUUGGUAAGGUAACGGCUUACCAAGGCAACGAUGCGUAGCCGACCUGAGAGGGUGAUCGGCCACACUGGAACUGAGACACGGUCCAGACUCCUACGGGAGGCAGCAGUAGGGAAUCUUCCGCAAUGGGCGAAAGCAUGACGGAGCAACGCCGCGUGAGUGAUGAAGGUCUUCGGAUCGUAAAACUCUGUUAUUAGGGAAGAACAAAUGUGUAAGUAACUAUGCACGUCUUGACGGUACCUAAUCAGAAAGCCACGGCUAACUACGUG